AUGCUUGCUUUGGCAGCACAUAUACUAAAAUUGGAACGAUACAGAGAAGAUUAGCAUGGCCCCUGCACAAGGAUGACAUGAAAAUCAUGAAGCGUUGCAUAUUAAA
rnacentral:snRNA from 1 species